AGAGUUUGAUCCUGGCUCAGAUUGAACGCUGGCGGAAUGCUUUACACAUGCAAGUCGAACGGUAGAGGGGGCAACCCCUUGAGAGUGGCGAACGGGUGAGUAAUAUAUCGGAACGUGCCCAGUCGUGGGGGAUAACGUAGCGAAAGUUACGCUAAUACCGCAUACGAUCUAAGGAUGAAAGCGGGGGAUCGCAAGACCUCGCGCGAUUGGAGCGGCCGAUAUCAGAUUAGGUAGUUGGUGGGGUAAAGGCUCACCAAGCCAACGAUCUGUAGCUGGUCUGAGAGGACGACCAGCCACACUGGAACUGAGACACGGUCCAGACUCCUACGGGAGGCAGCAGUGGGGAAUUUUGGACAAUGGACGCAAGUCUGAUCCAGCCAUUCCGCGUGCAGGAUGAAGGCCCUCGGGUUGUAAACUGCUUUUGUACGGAACGAAAAGGUUUGUCUUAAUACGAUGAGCUCAUGACGGUACCGUAAGAAUAAGCACCGGCUAACUACGUGCCAGCAGCCGCGGUAAUACGUAGGGUGCAAGCGUUAAUCGGAAUUACUGGGCGUAAAGCGUGCGCAGGCGGUUAUGUAAGACAGAGGUGAAAUCCCCGGGCUCAACCUGGGAACUGCCUUUGUGACUGCAUAGCUAGAGUACGGUAGAGGGGGAUGGAAUUCCGCGUGUAGCAGUGAAAUGCGUAGAUAUGCGGAGGAACACCGAUGGCGA
rnacentral:rRNA from 1 species